AUAGAGUAUUCAGAAUUGCAUCGCGCGAUACCAACCGAGUAGACUUACCACGGUGGUUAAUUAAUAUGGGUUUCGGCCAAAAAAACUGAAUACA
rnacentral:ncRNA from 2 species